rnacentral:rRNA from 1 species
AGAGUUUGAUCCUGGCUCAGAACGAACGCUGGCGGCGUAGAUAAGACAUGCAAGUCGAACGGGACAGUUGCGAUUACAUCAAGGCUGUUCAGUGGCGGACGGGUGCGUAACACGUGAGCAACCUGCCCGGAAGAGGGGGAUAGCCCAGGGAAACUUGGAUUAAUACCCCGUGUGAUUAAAGGAGGCAUCUCCUGACUAUCAAAGGUGCUGCAAGGUGCCGCUUCCGGAUGGGCUCGCGGCCUAUCAGCUAGUUGGCGGGGUAACGGCCCACCAAGGCAACGACGGGUAGCUGGUCUGAGAGGACGACCAGCCACACUGGAACUGAGACACGGUCCAGACACCUACGGGUGGCAGCAGUCGAGAAUAAUUCACAAUGGGCGAAAGCCUGAUGGUGUGACGCCGCGUGGAGGAUGAAGGUCUUCGGAUUGUAAACUCCUGUCAUGUGGGAGUAAAUCCGGGCGAGUAACUGCGUCCCGGCUUGAGAGUACCACAAGAGGAAGAGACGGCUAACUCUGUGCCAGCAGCCGCGGGAAUACAGAGGUCACAAGCGUUGUUCGGAAUCACUGGGCGUAAAGGGUGCGUAGGCUGCAACGUAAGUCAGAUGUGAAAUCCCGGGGCUCAACCCCGGAAUUGCAUCCGAUACUGCGUUGCUUGAGGACUGGAGGGGAGUCUGGAAUUCAUGGUGGAGCAGUGAAAUGCGUAGAUAUCAUGAGGAACGCUAGUGGCGUAGGCGAGACUCUGGACAGUUCCUGACGCUGAGGCACGAAGGCCAGGGGAGCAAACGGGAUUAGAUACCCCGG